GGGCCCGCACAAGCGGUGGAGCAUGUGGCUUAAUUCGAGGCAACGCGAAGAACCUUACCUGGUCUUGACAUGCCCGUCAUAGUUUUCCGAAAGGAAUUCGUCAGUUCGGCUGGACGGUGCACAGGUGCUGCAUGGCUGUCGUCAGCUCGUGUCGUGAGAUGUUCGGUUAAGUCCGGCAACGAGCGCAACCCUCGUUCCUAGUUGCCAGCGGGUAAUGCCGGGGACUCUAGGAAGACAAACCUCGUGUAGAGGUGGGAAGGUGGGGACGACGUCAAGUCAGUAUGGCCCUUACGACCAGGGCUGCACACGUGCUACAAUGCCUGGCACAAUGGGAUGCAAUACCGCGAGGUUGAGCAAAUCCACAAACCAGGCCCAGUUCGGAUUGGAGUCUGCAACUCGACUCCAUGAAGUUGGAAUCGCUAGUAAUGG
rnacentral:rRNA from 1 species